UACGAAGGGGGCGAGCGUUGUUCGGAAUUACUGGGCGUAAAGGCGCGUAGGCGGCCGAUCAAGUCAGAUGUGAAAGUCCUGGGCUUAACCUGGGGACUGCAUUUGAUACUGAUUGGCUUGAAUUCGGGAGAGGAUAGCGGAAUUCCCAGUGUAGAGGUGAAAUUCGUAGAUAUUGGGAAGAACACCGGUGGCGAAGGCGGCUAUCUGGACCGACAUUGACGCUGAUGCGCGAAAGCGUGGGGAGCAA
rnacentral:rRNA from 1 species